AAUGAACGCUGGCGGCGUGGAUUAGGCAUGCAAGUCGAACGCGAAAGUUCCCUUCGGGGAGCGAGUAGAGUGGCGAAAGGGUGAGUAAUGCUUGGAUGACCUGCCCUCGAGACGGGGACAACAGUUCGAAAGGACUGCUAAUACCCGAUAGUCCGGUUUAGAUGCGUCUAGAUCGGUAAAUGGUGCUUCCGCUCGAGGAGGGGUUCAAGUCCUAUCAGCUUGUUGGUGAGGUAACGACUCACCAAGGCGAUGACGGGUAGCCGGACUGAGAGGUUGGCCGGCCACAUGGGAACUGAGACACUGUCCUGACUCCUACGGGAGGGCUGCAGUCGAGAAUACUUCUGC
rnacentral:rRNA from 1 species